rnacentral:rRNA from 1 species
UACGUAGGGUGCGAGCGUUGUCCGGAAUUAUUGGGCGUAAAGAGCUUGUAGGCGGUUUGUCGCGUCUGCUGUGAAAUCUCAAGGCUCAACCUUGAGCUUGCAGUGGGUACGGGCAGACUAGAGUGUGGUAGGGGGAGACUGGAAUUCCGUGGUGUAGACGGUGAAAUGCGCAGGAUAUCAGGAGGAACACCGAUGGCGGAAGGCAGGUCUCUGGGCCA